rnacentral:rRNA from 1 species
UACGGAGGGUGCAAGCGUUAUCCGGAUUCACUGGGCGUAAAGGGUGCGUAGGCGGUCGGGUAAGUCUGAUGUGAAAUCUCACAGCUUAACUGUGAAACUGCAUUGGAUACUAUUCGGCUUGAGAGUUGGAGGGGGGACUGGAAUUCUUGGUGUAGCAGUGAAAUGCGUAGAUAUCAAGAGGAACACCAGUGGCGAAGGCGAGUCCCUGGACAACUUCUGACGCUGAGGCACGAAAGCUAGGGGAGCAAGCAGG